GCUCUCCAACACUGAGGGCGCCCCAUGUGCCUGGGCUAUUACAAGCAAUGGGUCUCCCACACUGGGCCCCCGCUCCUUUUUCUUUUAGUAGUUUUUAAUUUUCUUGGCCGUGUUUUCUCUAGCCAAGAUCUAGGGAGGAAUUUAGAGCAUGACUGAGGCAGCCCCGAGUAUUCCUGCUCCUCUUCCUCCUCCUGAAGCUGACAGGUGUCAGGCAGGGAAAGAAGAGGGAGCCUCUGAGAAAGACCGGAAAACCAGCAAGCAGGCAGUCGCCAAAGCCCGCUGGAAGCUGCUCAGACAGGUUUUGAAGCAAAAACAUGUGAAGGGUAUGCAUCUUCAGCAAGUUUCAGUAAGGAGAUUUGCUUCAUUUAAUCUCUUCUCAAUAAGCGAAGACAGCAGAAAGGCAACAGAAGUUGAUGAUGAGACGUGGAUUCAGUACAAAAGCAUCUUUUAUCCUCAGUAUAGUAUAUCAUUAAGAUGUCACAGUGGACUCUUAGACGUUGAAGAUGUUCUGACAAGUUUUGACAAUACAGGAAAUGUUUGUAUCUGGCCUUCAGAAGAAGUACUAGCUUACUACUGCCUCAAGCACUGUGAAAUGUUCAGGGGCCUUGCUGUGUGUGAGCUAGGGGGUGGCAUGACAUGCUUGGCUGGGCUCAUGGUUGCUAUUUCUGCAGAUGUCAAAGAAGUUCUGUUAACUGAUGGAAAUGAAAAGGCCAUCAAAAAUGUAAACGACAUUAUCAGAAGAAACCAAAAGGAAGGAGUGUUCAGAGUUCAAGCUAUCUCAAGCCGCGUUUUACGAUGGGAUAAUGAGACAGAUGUCUCUCAACUGGAAGGACAUUUUGACAUUGUUAUGUGUGCUGACUGCCUGUUUCUGGACCAGUACAGAGCUAGCCUUGUGGAUGCAAUAAAGAGAUUACUCCAGCCCAGUGGUAGACGUCACGGGCGUUUGGCACCAGGAGUGGCCAGUGUGGACUGCCAUUGUGGAGGCGGGCUCUCCAGCACCGAUUCCUGGGGAAAGCAGUGGUAUUUGCUCCUCGCAGGGGAAAUACUCUAAACCAGUUUUGCAAUCUAGUUGAAAAAGCUGGUUUCUCUGUCCAAAGACAUGAAAAUUAUGAUGAGCACAUUUCAAACUUCCACUCCAAGUUGAAAAAAGAAGAGAGAGAGAUUUAUGAUGAAAAUCUCCACUACCCAUUCCUUCUUAUUUUAACCAAACAUUCAUAAUAUGUAUGACAGGUAUAUUUUGAUUGGAAAGAAAAAAAUACUCCAUAGUUGCAUGAAUAUGCAAUUUUUUUUUUAAAAAAAAGCAAAUCUAGUUUGUUGUGAUGAGAAUCCUUUGAACUGUAUAGUAAAUAUAUAAUUCCUAGAACUUUUUCUCCCAGGUUGUUUUUCCUUGAAAAGCCAGUUCAGUGCAACCAAGUCUUUUAAGAGCUCCGUUUCUCCCCUGGCCAUGACUUCCAUCAUGCACCCGGUUACUUCAUCUUGACAAAGAGUGUUUCUGCGAUUACAUUUGAAUGCAACUGUUUUGGGGCUGUGUUUGACCAUCUGUAAAAACGCUAAAGUAUUUCUUGUUCUAGUAAGAGAUGAUGAUAAUUUAGGGGCAUUGUACACAUCCUAUUGCAUUCUAGAUGCAAUUCAUGCUAUAUUUUCAUUUCCCCAUCUCUCUUUCACUACUGACAAAAUUUGCCUUAUGGCUUUUCCUCCCCUCCCCCCCCCUCUCCCCCCCUCUCCCCCCCCCCGGAAAACGUUUCAAACUUGCUUUGCUUGAUUACUUAACGUUUUUUGACAACGGGAUUUUUUUUUUGUUCUCACCCUGUAGACGUAUAAGAAAUUACUGCCUCAAACCAAAGCCUCAUAAACUGACCAUUUGUCCUCUGGACACAAUGGCUUGGCCAGCCCUCUGCUCCUCCUCUCCAAUUAUGUGUGAUUAGUCUCAGUGUGUUGUGUCAAGAAGGGGGAGUGUGCUGAGUACUUAUUAUCUGUUUAGGUACAAGAAGAGCACUGUGGCUAUGAAUGAAAAGUGAGCCUUUAUCAGUGCUGAAAUCUAACUGCAACUGUUCGCAGAUCACUUGUUAAAAAUAGACUACUAUGCCUGAGAAAUUCUCAGUGCCGCUGCAAUUGUGAGAGAUUUUCUUCCCCCACAGAGGCACACAACCCCCACCACCAAAAUUAAUGUUCCAACAUCUUGUUUUAACCAUUGCUCCACAUACUGGGUGAAUAUUUAGUUACCAAGAACAAUUGUAACAGACAGGACAAAACUGUUUGGAUUUGUUCUCUCAUGGGUUUAACAGAGAAUUCUAACAACCUAAGAUGCUGAUGGCCUGGAUUUUAAAAACUUUAAAUACCUUUUUUUCCCCAUAGCCCCCCCCCCCCAUUUUAAAAAAAGAAUCCUGAUGAUAUCACAGACAAACACAGCCCAUUCUGAAAUUGGUUGAUGAAAUAAAUUAAAAUAGUUACCUUUAAAGGGUUGCUUUUCCUCUCUGGUUUAACAAACUGAGUUGUACACAAAAGUCCUGUUCCCUUCACUGCUUUCCUCCAAUGCAUUUCUUCACCACCAGUUUGCAUGUCCUUGUAUUCAACACUUUUUAUGCUCCAUUAGAGCACCUAUAUGGAUCUCAGAAGGCACAGGUCAAGUCGCAGUUAGAUCAUACAUUUCUUUCUCACAAAAACCUGAAUUGCAAUGCCAAGUGAUGGGCUAACAUCACAAUAACAGCAAUUUAUUCCUCUUUUGAUAAAACAGCAGUCUAUUCUCAGUGCUGGGUAAAGACCAAGGGCAAUGCAAACUAGUCAUUUAUCUUAGUAUUUCAGUAGUAGAUCUCCUUUUAUAGUUUUUAUGGAUUUCACAUUGAGACUCUUACUGUGUGGAAUUUCUGCUAAGAAAUUAUAAGCAUUUAGGAACAACUGAGGUUUAUUGUAGAGGGAGCUCUCCUUUUUCUCAGUAUACGUCCUGAAGAUACAACAUAUCCCAACAAGUUGUUAUGUUCAGUGUAAUCUCAAAAUGGACCCACAAACCCUAAUGAAAGUAUAAAUCUUCUGUGCCUCUACAAAAGUUCUUAGGAACAGGACACAUGGGUAACUUGCCAACUUUUCUCUAAUGACUCUGGAAAUUAUUAGUUCACUCUUUAUUCCUCUGAGGAGAUAACAAGUAUAUCAAAAUGAACAACUAAUUAUUGUUGUUUGUUUCUUUUCCUGCCUGUCAUGUCAGUACAAGCUGGUGUCUCAAAUGCAGGCUAUUAUCCCGUAAGGGUUUAAUUGAAGGGGUCUUAAGAACACGAUCCUGCAAACAUUUAUGCAUUGAGGCUGAAUGGUGAAGUGAAAUUGCUCAUGCGUAUAAUUGAUGAAAGGACUGGGGCCCUCCUCAACUGUAACAUUUGCUGUUUACAAUCAUUGUGUGAAUAAACAUUUUGCUUCAUUCCUUCUUUUCAACGUUCACUGUAAGAAAAAUCAUAGAGUGUGAUCUUUUUGUGUUUGAUUACAGGAUGCUCUUCUGAGUUUUAAUUUUAUAUAAUUAUAUUUCUCUCUGUGUGUGUGUGUGUGUGUGUGCGCGCGUGUGUGUGUGUGUGUGUGUGUGUGUGUGUGUGUGUGUGUGUGUGUGUAGAAUUACAAUAUGUUACUGGUAAACAUCUAGAUGGUGUUUAUACUCUUCCAAAUGGUGGUAAAGAUUUUUUUAAAGUUAAAAGUGUGGAAAAUUUUUAUGUGAAAUAAUAUCAGGAAAGCGCCUGUAUUAAUAAUAAAUGUACACAUAGGUCCAGAUACGUCCAGCCCUACAUUAAUUGCCAUCCAUCUAGUCUUAUGCACAAUAUAUAAUGCAUAUUAGUGUACCAUUGAAUAAGAGUUGCUUAAUGAGCAAAUGCCUUACAUGCCCCCUGAAAAUGUAAAACACUUCAUAAGGACUGGCAACCAAUGGAAACAAUGCAAGUUUUCUCAUAGGGUUACAAGAAGCUGAGAGGCUAGCCAGUUGUUUCUCUCAUUCAUAUUGAAAUGGCAGCUUAGGACCCUCUUCUUGUCGUAAGCUGCAGCAGAAAGAACACCCAGAUUUCCCCAAACUAAGCCUGAAUGUUGGAACUAAAUGCCAAGAGAAAGCAAAAGAAAUAUCAACAUCUUAUUUUUUAAAAAAACUAUGAAAUUAGUAUUGACAUACAUAUAAUUACUAAAAGAGGCUUUUUGAAAGGUUGCAGAGUCAAACGUUUUUCAAUCAAAUAUCGAAACAAUUCUGGGAAAGAAAUUACGUACUGCAAAAAGUGGAUGAAGCACAGGAGAGAGUAAGACUGUUACAAUUAAACAAUUUGUGGGGAGUUUGCAGUUGUCAUAUGUGUGAACAAAGCAAGGACUUCAGCUUGCUCUUCAUUUUUUGAAUGUGUUGCUUGCACUGCACAUACGCAGUGCCCCUUGAUUUUUAUUUUUAUUUUGAGGUCACAUAAAUGAACAUGAAGAGGAUAAAGCUUUUUUGUUGGCAGACUCUGCUCCGGUUAGGGGUUGGAAGGGAAAUGGGCCAGUUUUUAGUCCAAGAGGUAAUAUACUCUAAGUUGAUCCUUGAGCUGGAAGGCAAGGGCAAAUUACAGUAAAAUCAAUUCAAAGAGAGGGAGGAGGAAAGGAAACAAACAAAAGUCAAAAGCAAGGUGAGGUGGGACACAGCAAAGAACAAAAGAGCAAGACAAGUUGGGGUCAUAAGCCAGGAAAAUAGCGAAGUUCUUGGGCUGAGUGCAAUGCAGAAAGUUUUUAUAGAACAUAAAAGUGGCCAUGUGCUCACUUCUAGCCAAUCAGAAUCUGAGGAAAUAAAUGUUAACGUCUCUGAGCUGUCUGUUUUUUCACACACAAGUCACAGCCUGGAAGGUGGUAUGCUAAUGCAGCUGUCUUAGAAACUCCUCCAAAUCACAUGCCACUGUAUAUUUGGUGAUUUUUCAUCUCUUCGAUAAAGCUGAAUAAAUGCACAAAAAGUAGAAGAGAUUUCCAUAUUUGAUCUAGUAGGAUUUUUGCAGCAGUUAAGACUUCUUACAGUAUCAGUCUGAUCCUAACCAUUUUUACUUGUAUGAAAAUGUAACUGAAAUUAUUGUGCCUUACUUCUAGAAAAAUAUAGUUAGAUUAGAUUGCAAAGUCACACACUUUAGCAUUUCCUACCUUCAUCCAGUUAGCAGCCAAUUUAUAUUGACUAAAAGUCAUAAUGGGCACUUACAUUAAACAGGAAGAAGCAGUUGAAACCACCCAUUCUUACUGCAUCAAUGGAUCAGUGACAUGUUUAUACCAGUAGAAACUUCUUAUGGCCAGUGGAAAAGGAGGUGCAUAGGAUCUAACCCAUAGGCUAGAACCCAGAUGGGCUGAGUAUGCUCAUGUGGAACAACCCAGUUGUGCUGUACUGCAUGGUUAAGAAGGAAUACACCUAUAUUCGGUUCCAGCAGCUCCUUAGAGCAACAAGAUUUUGGGAGGCAAAGCUCUUGUUAUCAGAUAUCUUUGCUUUGACUCUCGAAAACUUAUUCCCAAAAAAUCUUAUUGGUCUUUAAGGUUCUCCUGGAUUCGAAUCUAACCAUUCUACUGCAGAUCAACAAGCUACUUUUUGAAACAGGAAGAAAUACAGUGAAGCAACUUCCGAACAACUGUGAUCAGGUUGGUGAACAGUCAAGCUGAUUUUUUUUAAAAACAACAACUGAUUCCUUGUCCUAGAAUGGCAAACAAGAUAUAAGCCACACUGGCAGGCGUUUUGAAUUUUUAAGGCUGCACUCCUAACUAGGGAUGCUCAAAUAUUCAUAUCCUUCAUAUCCUGUAUUCUGGAGUAGAGUACCAGUGCUUAUGUUGGUUCAAUGGUCCUCCUCUAGUGCUGGUGACCUUCAGCUUUCUAAACCAGAUCCUGUGAUACUGAUGAAUUGCAGGGAUUCAUCUGCUAAUCUUUCUCAGCCGCCCUGUUCUUCAUGUGAGGCAUAAUUUAUGACAACACAGUUUUACAGAGGUCAUGAAAUAUAUUUUGGGUCCUAGGAAAAAUAGUAAUUGUACCUCAGCCAUACUGGACCUCUUUUUGAUGAAGCUGCCCUGAGCAUUGAGUUCAUUUUUGGAGGUCCUGUUUUGGCACUCCCAUUGCAAGAGAUGUGGAGGGCGCCUAUCCAAGAAUGGGCCUUUUCUCAGCUGGCAUUCCACUGGCCCUUGUUGUAGUGGUCCACCAGGCACCUGAUCUUUUUCAAGCACCAUAGCAAGACUUUACCUGGGAUCUUGGUCAAUUUUCCUUCAUUGAUGUGAGCUGGCUUUUAUUAUUGUUGAAAAAUGUAUUGUUGUACAUUGAUUUUAGUAUUUUAUGGUCUUAUUAAAUUGUGAUUGUAUUCAAUUUAUCUGAAAGAUGCCCUUGUGAAUUGGAGUUGUGAUAAACAUCUUUAAAUAAAUGAAAAUAAAUACAGUCUCCACCCUGA